UCAAGAUCGAACUCUCCCACGCGGAGGUAAGCGCCGUGAUAUCCGUGAUUUGGGGAGGAGUGGUCCAGAUAUGCGGACCGAGUGGCUGUGCGUGAGGGCAAGAUGGAGGCUAAAGGCUGGCGUGGAGGAGUGACUUUGCUGAAAUUUUUAACGCCGACUGGUUCAUCUCAUUUCUAUCAAAGGAUGUAAGGAUUGUGAAUGGGCUUCCAAAGAUAGGAGGUAAACUGUGGGCUCCUAUUCCUGAAAAACUUCAAAAUUACUUUGCUUCCAAACGCACACAAGCUUUCUGUGAAGUAGAGUUUCUCUGUUGGCUUUUGAACCAUUAGCUAUUGCCAUGGAUGUUUACUGUACACCUUGUUUUCAGCAUCACUACGAUUUCCAGUGACUACUUGCAAUGUUCCAUGUAGGGUUAAGUAUUAAUAUCUGGUACAGAUUAAGGGGAGUUUCACCA